UGGUCCGAGCCCCCAACGAUGUAGUUACAGGAAGCCUUCUUGGGCACAUAUUGUGAACAUCUCAUCAUGUAAAUUUGCGGACAUUUCUUCAUCUCUUCGCUUCGUAUCCACCGGAGGAGAGCGGGUUGGGACAAAUGUAUCCGUGGAGGAGAGAGGAGGACUGUCCGUGUGACUGUCAACAUAACCGGAAAGAGGAAUGGUUGUGUUUUCAUUGAGUCUCAUUCUCACGUUCAUGUCCUGACAUCGCUAUUAAAACUUUCAAAAUGAGGAUCUUUGCGUCGUUGCUGAAAAACACGAACCCCAAAAUCGAGUAUUACUCGAGAUUUUCACCAUCACCGCUCUCCAUUAAGCAGUUUCUGGAUUUUGGCAGGGACAAUGCCUGCGAGAAAACAUCCUACAUGUUCCUGCGUAAGGAGCUGCCAGUGCGGCUUGCUAACACCAUGAGGGAGGUCAACCUGCUACCUGACAACCUGCUCAGCCAGCCGUCUGUCAGACUGGUGCAGAAAUGGUACAUGCAAAGCUUUGUGGAGCUGCUGGAUUAUGAAAACAGAAAGCCAGAGGAUCCUCACGCUCUGAAUGAUUUUCUAGAUCUCUUGAUUGAGAUCCGUAACCGUCACAAUGAUGUGGUUCCCACCAUGGCUCAGGGAGUCAUCGAGUACAAGGAGAAGUUUGGCUUCGACCCUUUCAUCAGCAGCAACAUCCAGUAUUUCCUCGACCGCUUCUACACCAACCGCAUCUCCUUCCGUAUGCUCAUCAACCAGCACACUCUGCUGUUUGGUAACGACACCAACCCUGCACUUCCAAAACACAUAGGCAGUAUUGAUCCAACCUGCAGUGUAGCAGAAGUCGUCAAUGAUGCCUACGACACAGCCAAGAUGUUGUGUGAGAAGUACUACUUGGCAGCUCCAGAGCUGAAGAUUGAAGAGUUUAACAUGAAGGCCCCUAAAAAGCCCAUCCAAGUGGUGUAUGUGCCCUCCCAUCUCUUCCACAUGCUGUUUGAGCUCUUUAAGAACUCAAUGAGAGCCACUGUGGAGCUUCAUGAAAACAGUCAAGAGGGAUUACCUCCAGUGAAGGCCAAAGUCACUCUGGGGAAAGAGGAUCUGUCAAUAAAGAUCAGCGACAGAGGAGGAGGAGUUCCUCUGAGGAAGAUUGACCGUCUCUUUAACUACAUGUACUCCACCGCCCCGACACCGAGCCUGGAGCCAGGAGCCGUCCCACUGGCUGGUUUUGGCUACGGUUUGCCCAUUUCUAGGCUGUAUGCCCGAUACUUCCAGGGAGAUCUGAAACUCUACUCCAUGGAGGGUGUGGGCACUGAUGCUGUCAUCUAUCUAAAGGCCUUGUCCAGUGAGUCCUUUGAGCGCCUGCCUGUCUUCAACAAGUCAGCAUGGCGGCAUUACAAGACAAGCCCUGAGGCGGACGACUGGAGCAACCCCAGCAAAGAGCCACGUGAUGCCAGCAAGUCCAAAUACAAAGCCAACAGAUAACUCUGCCUGGCCUGCUAGCCUGCCGACCCUUGGCUGGGAGCCCUGAAAAGCUCACUCUCUUGCCCAGAGCAUGUUGGAUGAAAUGUUGCCCUUGGCCUGGCUCCUCUUUGAUGACUAGGCUGCUGCUCCCUGUGGCUGAAUAAGCUGUGCACUGCUGAUUGAGAGUCUUUUUCAGUCGCAGAGGGGGCUUGUAUUCUGUUUCAACACAAGCUGAGUCAGAGUGGGGUGAGUUUCAGUGCAAACCGGGCGAAGAGGAGGAUUCAUUCCCUUCCAUUGGGAGACACUCGAAACAGAACGCACAAUUAGGCCAGUGUGCCAUUGGCAUAGUAAAGACUUGUUUGGGUUAGACUUUGUUUAAGCCUGGGAAAAACAUUUCCAGUAGAUGACAGAAAAUUAUAGCUCUUGUGGAAUAAUUAUGAGAUGCACUGCAUCAAGAGUAGAACUUAUUUUUAAAGAUCUAGAAGCCACGUUUUCCAGUUUAUGUCAGAGAGAGAAAGCCUUACUUCUUGGAACUAUUUUCACACAUGCACCUCUGAAAAUUUCAAGAGAAUUUCAGGAAGGUUGUCCCUGAAGACUUCAUGAGUUGCCCUUCAAAGUGGGACUGUGGAUUUGAGAGGAAGGGUCUCAGCGGGCAGGCAGAAGAAUGACUGAAAUGGGACUGCAUGAAAUUAGAUGUACUCGGGAAACAUGAAUAAGCAUUCAUUACAAAAUUAAAAUGAAUGCAGGAUAACAACAUCCCCUCCCUCCCGCUCAUGGUGAGAUUGGCUGGCCCUGACUUCACACAGGAGAAGCUGGGGUAAAAAAAAAAUAACCUAUUUGCAUUCUAAGCAGCUCAUCCUGGAAAUUUUGGGAAAUUUCAGGAGUUUUUUGUAUGUGUGGAAGCAUUAUUACAGGAUAUUUAAUAUGUAAAAUUUGCCUCGAAGGCUCUUAAAGAACUUGAAGUUGAUUCAUUAUUGCAGGAUGUUAGAAAUAAAGAGUAUUCUGAUGAUAUUCUAUCUUUUAUGUAUUAAAAAUGCCCUGAACUAGAGAGCUGACCAGCAGGACUGACCCUCAUCGGACAUCCCCUCUUUCAUGCCAGCUCUGCACCCUGAAUUAACACCUGCUAAAGGACCAAAGCAGCAUCUGUAGGAUGCUUACAAAACACCACCAUGCCAUUCAAGUAGCUUCAAAAACACCAGCAUGAUGAGUUGUGCAAAGCCUUGCAGAAAGAAUGAACAUUAUGCAUCUAAAGAGGACUAUAAGCGGGACCUUCCAUGCUGGAUACAUGACACGCUAACAGCUCGGACAUUGCUUCUUCCUGCCAGCAUUGUUGUGUUAAUACUAAUCCUUACAGUCCUCUGAGUGAUUGAACAAAGCUUGUAUGCUUUUAAAAAUAUACGUUUGUGUUUUUAACCACAAGUAAAAACAGACUAAAAAUAAGUAAUAUGCUUUUAAUUUACUUGGGAACAAAACAGUUCAAGUCCCUGUAAAGUGAGAUCUGAAGUUUGUGUCUUAAGACGCUAAAUAUGUUGGAAUAAGGUUACUGUAAACAUAUAAAAACACUGAGGACUUUGUGUGACUGUGUUUUUGAUUUAGACCAUCCGAAAGUUCUUCUCCUCUUUCCUGGCUUGGUUUGAGAUUUUGUAGGGCAAAAAUCUGAGCCCAUGACAUCACCAGUUUUGAUGGGGGACUACCCUGUCCCCCUAAUGCUACAGCGAUUUAAAAAAAAAAAAAAAAUCACAGAGCAGUUCAUUUAAGUACAGUCUGUUGUCAGCUGAUGUCACAGCCUUCAUUGAAAGUUAAUAGUCAGCUACAUGCUGUUUUUAUGUUCAUUAUGAGGUAAAUUUCCCCAAACUAUCAGCCACAGUGCCCUACGGGUCAUUGAAAGUAUUAUUAGAGAGAUUUGUGCCAGAAAACAGUAAAUUUAAUCCUCAACUUCUGUCUCUGCUCUGGCACAGAGCCAGGCAGCUGAGCCCUGAUUUCUCAUGAGUGGGCGGGACUUCAUCUAAUUCCACAGACACGCCCACAACACCCUAGAGCAGAUAUUACUCCCUCAUUCUUUUUUUAUUUUGAAGCUUAAUUUUCUAAACUUAGAGAUGUUUUUCAUGACUGAAAUUUGGCCUGGUGGCUCAUAACAAAACAGCCUGUCAUACAACAAAUCUAAAAUGAAGAUUUUUUUAAUCACUUUACAGGAACUUUAAAGAAUGUUUGUUUAAGGCUUUUGCACCAUUAUCUCUAUUUUUUUGCUUUAAAGUUGGAAAUGUUUUGUUAUCUUCUUAUGUUCUUCUCUGUAUCUAAAAUAGGAACUCAAGCUACAUAAAGGAAAUAAAACAGGGUAAAUGUGGUUAAAGGCAGCCAGUACUACUUUGUGUGACAUGAAUUAUAUUCUGAAAUUUUUUUAGUGCAGUUUACUUACUCUACAUGUGCAUUUUUCCUUUCCUGAAUUCAUUUCACUCCUCUUGUAAGAACUGUUUUAGGGGGGAAAUUACAAUCAGGUGAAAUUCAGUGCAACCACAACUAAAAAAAGGCCCAAAUAUGGCUCAAAUUGGGUACCAUUUUUAGGACCAGAUGAUGUGGAGUGUCUUUGCGCCAAAGUGACAUUCUUUUCUCAUCUCCUUCAGCUCAAGUCUGAUGUGAAAAGAGUGGAAAGAGAGACAAGCUCCUUCGACAUUUUCAGCCUCACUGUAAGAUUUCAUCACUGCCGAUGCCUUCGUUAAAACUGCCAGUCUCUCUGAGUGGUACUCAGAGACAAACCUGCUGUAAAAGAAGUGCUGUGUUUAAUGUUGAGACACAACAGAAAGCCUCAUUUAGAUGCCUCAUAUUCUGUGCUCCCUGUUCCAAUUCUAGCUGUGUGCAUUAGAGGCCUCUAUCAUCACCUGUAGCUGUCAGUCUUUACUGUUGAAGUCUUUCUGUUCUGAUAGUAUUGUAUUUUUUGGAAAUACUGUGUACAUAACUAUUAAUAAUAAUUAUGUAUUUGCAGCCAGUGUGGAGUGGUAACUGUGUUCCAGCUUAAAAAAUGUAUCUGUAUGCAUGAUGACGGAGCGAAUGAGGACAAAUUACCCAAAGAAGAGUGGUCUAAUGUAUCAGCAUGAGAUCAACCAACAUUGUUAAACCCUAACAAUAAAGAAAAAGCUGCUGUGUGCAAUCCGUCAA